rnacentral:rRNA from 1 species
GACGAACGCUGGCGGCGUGCUUAACACAUGCAAGUCGUGCGGUAAGGCCCUUUCGGGGGUUCACGAGCGGCGAACGGGUGAGUAACACGUGAGCAACCUGCCCUUCACUUUGGGAUAACUGCCGGAAACGGUGGCUAAUACCGGAUAUGACUUCCUCACGCAUGUGGGGUGGUGGAAAGCCUUCGGGUGGUGGGGGAUGGGCUCGCGGUCUAUCAGCUUGUUGGUGGGGUGAUGGCCUACCAAGGCUUCGACGGGUAGCCGGCCUGAGAGGGUGACCGGCCACACUGGGCCUGAGACACGGCCCAGACUCCUACGGGAGGCAGCGGUGGGGGAUGUUGAACAAUAGGCGAAAGCCUGAUCCAGCAACGCCGCGUGAGGGAUGACGGCCUUCGGGUUGUAAACCUCUUUCGCCUGCGACGAAGCGAGAGUGACGGUAGCAGGUAAAGAAGCACCGGCCAACUACGUG